CUCUGGACUCGUCACCUGCCCCUCCCCCUCCCGCCGCCGUCACCCAGGAAACCGGCCGCAAUCGCCGGCCGACCUGAAGCUGGUUUCAUGGCAGCCUCAAAGAAGGCAGUUUUGGGGCCAUUGGUGGGGGCGGUGGACCAGGGCACCAGUUCGACGCGCUUUUUGGUUUUCAAUUCAAAAACAGCUGAACUACUUAGUCAUCAUCAAGUAGAAAUAAAACAAGAGUUCCCAAGAGAAGGGUUAUUGCAAAGCUAACCAUACACCUGCA
rnacentral:lncRNA from 1 species